UACGAAGGGGGCUAGCGUUGCUCGGAAUCACUGGGCGUAAAGGGUGCGUAGGCGGGUUUUUAAGUCAGGGGUGAAAUCCUGGAGCUCAACUCCAGAACUGCCUUUGAUACUGAAGAUCUUUGAGUCCGGGAGAGGUGAGUGGAACUGCGAGUGUAGAGGUGAAAUUCGUAGAUAUUCGCAAGAACACCAGUGGCGAAGGCGGCUCACUGGCCCGGUACUGACGCUGAGGCACGAAAGCGUGGGGAGCAAACAAG
rnacentral:rRNA from 1 species